rnacentral:tRNA from 1 species
CCCCGAGUAGCUCAGCUGGAAGAGCGUUCGGCUGUAAACCGAAAGGCCACCUGUUCGAGCCAGGUCUCGGGGA